CCAGUGUCUGCUGUUGUAUACUUACGGGGUUAUAGGAGGCAACUCCCACUACAGCUGGCACCAAAAGUAACAUCUAAGUGCCUCGUAAAGUCUAAGACUCUGGAUCCCUCAGGCAGAUAGACCCUGGCUGGGUCUAUGCUCCUUACCCCAGUCCUCCAGACAUGCCACAUUCUAAGGCGAGCACAGCUUCAGCUCACACCAGGGCCCAGCCCACCGUCAGCGGCUCCCAACUACCUGCGCAAUGCAGCCCAGUUCUUCAGCACAGCAUUCAAGGCCCCAGUCACUCUGCUUCCACUGCAGCUCCACUUCUCCCAAUCCUGUCCACACACCCAAUGCCCCGCCCACCGCCCAGACUGCUUACCUUUCACCAAUACUCUGAAUGCUCUCUGCCGUGAGCCUUUAUCCUAAAGGUUUCCUGCAUCUGACCUGCCCUCCCCUCCACCCACUGCUGCCUUUGAAGUCCAGCCUGUCAACCAACAAGAUCCAGCUCCACACAGUGGCUUUCCUCCUCUCCUGAAGACCAGCUUACGUGAGUCGGUGUUCUGGUGUCAGAAGAGGGAACCAAAGGAGACCCCCAAGGGCCCCCAGGGGCACCGAGCAACCAGAUGUACAUACCUUCUCCUCCACCAGAACAUGAGCCCGGAAGACAGAGGCCUGUAGUGUUCGUCAUUAAUUCCCAGGCAACACCUAGCACAUGAUAUCAUCAUUUACUUGAAAAUCAAAAAAAAAAUAAGGAAACAGAUAAGUCAGAGAUGGGCUCCACCAGAAUAAAGACACUAAGGAGAAGGGGCCUUCUGAGCAGCUGUCCAAGGUGGACGUGGGUGACCAAUAGAAUGUAGGUGGAAGUGAUGGGCACUACUGGACCUUGCACAUAAGACCUCUGAGGGGUGGCCCUCAUUUUCUUUCCUACCUCCCAAACCAGUGCAGAGGCUCUAUCAGAGGACACCAAGCUGGAAGGGCCUUGCAUCCCUGAGUGACCACAGUGAAGGCUAUCCAUCAACCAGGAACAUCCAUGCUAGACUUUCUUGAACAAGAAAUAAACGUUCGCUGGGCAUGGCUUUUGCCAAGCGGUGCCAUGUCCACACCUGGGAUCCAAACCGGCGAACCCCAGGCCGCCGAGAAGCGGAACAUGCGAACUUAACUGCUGCACCACUGGGCCAGCCCAGCCAUUGAAGUUUUUGAGUCGAUGCAUAAUAGUCUCCAUCACUUUCAGCCCCACCUGGAUGCAGGCCUGCCUCAGGACCCAGCCCAUGUCAGCCUGGGUAAGCAGACAUUUUGUGUAACAGUGUCUGGAAGAGAACUGAUCAACCUAAUCAGACCCAAUUCCCCCUUUAUUAACAAAUAUUUCAUUACGUCUCCUUUACUACCUUAAAGUAUAAUUAAUUAAUAAUAUAACCUACUGAUGCUCACAUUUAUAAUGCUCUAAUAGGGAUGUAAAGAAGAAAUGAAAAUAAAGCAAUUUAUCAUUUGAGAGUAUAUAUUUCAAAAUAUAAAUGCUCAAAGAUAUGCUCACUGAAGAUCUAACGAAGUAAUUG
rnacentral:lncRNA from 1 species